rnacentral:tRNA from 1 species
UAGGGUAAAGUAUAAGUGGAGAUACGAGGAGUUUUGGAUUCCUAGAUGGGGGUUCGAGUCCUCUUUCUCUAA